rnacentral:rRNA from 1 species
UACGGAGGGUGCGAGCGUUGUCCGGAAUCACUGGGCGUAAAGGGCGCGUAGGUGGCCGAGCAAGGUUGCGGUGAAAGCCCGGGGCUCAACCCCCGGGUCGGCCGUGGCAACUACUCGGCUUGAGCACUGUGAGGGCGGGGUGGAAUUCCGGGUGUAGCGGUGGAAGUGCGUAGAGAUCGGAAGAACACCGGUGGCGAAGGCGGCCCGCUGGGCAGGAAGGCUCGCAAGAGCCGCUGACACUGAGGCGCGACAGCGUGGGGAGCAACAGG